rnacentral:rRNA from 1 species
CAGCCGCCGCGGGAAUACGAAGGGUGCAAGCGUUAAUCGGAAUUACUGGGCGUAAAGGGUGCGUAGGCGGUUAGUUAAGUCUGCUGUGAAAUCCCCGGGCUCAACCUGGGAAUGGCAGUGGAUACUGGCAAGCUAGAGUGUGUCAGAGGAUGGUGGAAUUCCCGGUGUAGCGGUGAAAUGCGUAGAGAUCGGGAGGAACAUCAGUGGCGAAGGCGGCCAUCUGGGACAACACUGACGCUGAGGCACGAAAGCGUGGGGAGCAAACAGGAUUAGAUACCCCCGUAGUCCCUGUCUCUUAUAC